CAGUAGCCGCGGGAAUACGUAGGGUGCAAGCGUUAAUCGGAAUUACUGGGCGUAAAGCGUGCGCAGGCGGUUUGUUAAGACAGAUGUGAAAUCCCCGGGCUCAACCUGGGAACUGCAUUUGUGACUGGCAGGCUAGAGUAUGGCAGAGGGGGGUGGAAUUCCGCGUGUAGCAGUGAAAUGCGUAGAUAUGCGGAGGAACACCGAUGGCGAAGGCGAUCCCCUGGGCCUGCACUGACGCUCAUGCACGAAAGCGUGGGGAGCGAACAGGAUUAGAUACCCGAGUAGUCCCUGUCUCUUAUAA
rnacentral:rRNA from 1 species